CGGCGAGCGAACGGGGAGGAGCCCAGAGCCUGAAUCAGUGUGUGUGUUAGUGGAAGCGUCUGGAAAGGCGCGCGAUACAGGGUGACAGCCCCGUACACAAAAAUGCACAUGCUGUGAGCUCGAUGAGUAGGGCGGGACACGUGGUAUCCUGUCUGAAUAUGGGGGGACCAUCCUCCAAGGCUAAAUACUCCUGACUGACCGAUAGUGAACCAGUACCGUGAGGGAAAGGCGAAAAGAACCCCGGCGAGGGGAGUGAAAAAGAACCUGAAACCGUGUACGUACAAGCAGUGGGAGCACAGAGCAAUCUGUGUGACUGCGUACCUUUUGUAUAAUGGGUCAGCGACUUAUAUUCUGUAGCAAGGUUAACCGAAUAGGGGAGCCGAAGGGAAACCGAGUCUUAACUGGGCGUUAAGUUGCAGGGUAUAGACCCGAAACCCGGUGAUCUAGCCAUGGGCAGGUUGAAGGUUGGGUAACACUAACUGGAGGACCGAACCGACUAAUGUUGAAAAAUUAGCGGAUGACUUGUGGCUGGGGGUGAAAGGCCAAUCAAACCGGGAGAUAGCUGGUUCUCCCCGAAAGCUAUUUAGGUAGCGCCUCGUGAAUUCAUCUCCGGGGGUAGAGCACUGUUUCGGCAAGGGGGUCAUCCCGACUUACCAACCCGAUGCAAACUGCGAAUACCGGAGAAUGUUAUCACGGGAGACACACGGCGGGUGCUAACGUCCGUCGUGAAGAGGGAAACAACCCAGACCGCCAGCUAAGGUCCCAAAGUCAUGGUUAAGUGGGAAACGAUGUGGGAAGGCCCAGACAGCCAGGAUGUUGGCUUAGAAGCAGCCAUCAUUUAAAGAAAGCGUAAUAGCUCACUGGUCGAGUCGGCCUGCGCGGAAGAUGUAACGGGGCUAAACCAUGCACCGAAGCUGCGGCAGCGACACUGUGUGUUGUUGGGUAGGGGAGCGUUCUGUAAGCCUGUGAAGGUGUGCUGUGAGGCAUGCUGGAGGUAUCAGAAGUGCGAAUGCUGACAUAAGUAACGAUAAAGCGGGUGAAAAGCCCGCUCGCCGGAAGACCAAGGGUUCCUGUCCAACGUUAAUCGGGGCAGGGUGAGUCGACCCCUAAGGCGAGGCCGAAAGGCGUAGUCGAUGGGAAACAGGUUAAUAUUCCUGUACUUGGUGUUACUGCGAAGGGGGGACGGAGAAGGCUAUGUUGGCCGGGCGACGGUUGUCCCGGUUUAAGCGUGUAGGCUGGUUUUCCAGGCAAAUCCGGAAAAUCAAGGCUGAGGCGUGAUGACGAGGCACUACGGUGCUGAAGCAACAAAUGCCCUGCUUCCAGGAAAAGCCUCUAAGCAUCAGGUAACAUCAAAUCGUACCCCAAACCGACACAGGUGGUCAGGUAGAGAAUACCAAGGCGCUUGAGAGAACUCGGGUGAAGGAACUAGGCAAAAUGGUGCCGUAACUUCGGGAGAAGGCACGCUGAUAUGUAGGUGAAGUCCCUCGCGGAUGGAGCUGAAAUCAGUCGAAGAUACCAGCUGGCUGCAACUGUUUAUUAAAAACACAGCACUGUGCAAACACGAAAGUGGACGUAUACGGUGUGACGCCUGCCCGGUGCCGGAAGGUUAAUUGAUGGGGUCAGCGCAAGCGAAGCUCUUGAUCGAAGCCCCGGUAAACGGCGGCCGUAACUAUAACGGUCCUAAGGUAGCGAAAUUCCUUGUCGGGUAAGUUCCGACCUGCACGAAUGGCGUAAUGAUGGCCAGGCUGUCUCCACCCGAGACUCAGUGAAAUUGAACUCGCUGUGAAGAUGCAGUGUACCCGCGGCAAGACGGAAAGACCCCGUGAACCUUUACUAUAGCUUGACACUGAACAUUGAGCCUUGAUGUGUAGGAUAGGUGGGAGGCUUUGAAGUGUGGACGCCAGUCUGCAUGGAGCCGACCUUGAAAUACCACCCUUUAAUGUUUGAUGUUCUAACGUGGACCCGUGAUCCGGGUUGCGGACAGUGUCUGGUGGGUAGUUUGACUGGGGCGGUCUCCUCCUAAAGAGUAACGGAGGAGCACGAAGGUUGGCUAAUCCUGGUCGGACAUCAGGAGGUUAGUGCAAUGGCAUAAGCCAGCUUGACUGCGAGCGUGACGGCGCGAGCAGGUGCGAAAGCAGGUCAUAGUGAUCCGGUGGUUCUGAAUGGAAGGGCCAUCGCUCAACGGAUAAAAGGUACUCCGGGGAUAACAGGCUGAUACCGCCCAAGAGUUCAUAUCGACGGCGGUGUUUGGCACCUCGAUGUCGGCUCAUCACAUCCUGGGGCUGAAGUAGGUCCCAAGGGUAUGGCUGUUCGCCAUUUAAAGUGGUACGCGAGCUGGGUUUAGAACGUCGUGAGACAGUUCGGUCCCUAUCUGCCGUGGGCGCUGGAGAACUGAGGGGGGCUGCUCCUAGUACGAGAGGACCGGAGUGGACGCAUCACUGGUGUUCGGGUUGUCAUGCCAAUGGCACUGCCCGGUAGCUAAAUGCGGAAGAGAUAAGUGCUGAAAGCAUCUAAGCACGAAACUUGCCCCGAGAUGAGUUCUCCCUGACCCUUUAAGGGUCCUGAAGGAACGUUGAAGACGACGACGUUGAUAGGCCGGGUGUGUAAGCGCAGCGAUGCGUUGAGCUAACCGGUACUAAUGAACCGUGAGGCUUAACCUUACAACGCCGAAGGUGUUU
rnacentral:rRNA from 1 species